rnacentral:tRNA from 1 species
AAAAAAUUAGUUAAUUUAAUAACCUUAGUUUGUCAAACUAAAAUUAUCUUUAUAAGAUAUUUUUUG